rnacentral:lncRNA from 1 species
CAUGGAGAUGACCUCAUAUACGUGCAGUUGGAAGAAUUGCACCAAUUAUGUCACCUCGACGCUCUCGACAAAUCUUUUGUUAGCUGCUUUUGUGUGUAAGUAUAUUUUUCUUUUUAUUAUACUUCUAACUUCUUUAAUUACAUGUAUAUAAUCCUUACACACUUAGAAUUUGUAUGUAUAUAUGCAGGCACCAAAUGAGAGAGCUCAGAAAUGACAAUAAUAUUGGGUUCGUUGACCCUUAUAUUGUUUUCAAAGCUCCGCAGGCAGUGUGGACAGCAGCUCAUG